UACAGAGGGGGCAAGCGUUGUUCGGAAUUACUGGGCGUAAAGGGCGCGUAGGCGGCCACCGCAAGUCAGUUGUGAAAUCUCUGGGCUUAACCCAGAAAGGUCAACUGAUACUGCGGGGCUAGAGUGCAGAAGAGGCAAGUGGAAUUCCCGGUGUAGCGGUGAAAUGCGCAGAUAUCGGGAGGAACACCAAUGGCGAAGGCAGCUUGCUGGGACGGUACUGACGCUGAGGCGCGAAAGCGUGGGGAGCGAACAGG
rnacentral:rRNA from 1 species